UGGGGAAUAUUGCACAAUGGGGGAAACCCUGAUGCAGCGACGCCGCGUGAAGGAAGAAGGUUUUCGGAUCGUAAACUUCUAUCAGCAAGGAAGAAAACAGACGGUACUUGACUAAGAAGCCCCGGCUAACUACGUGCCAGCAGCCGCGGUAAUACGUAGGGGGCAAGCGUUAUCCGGAAUUACUGGGUGUAAAGGGAGCGUAGGCGGUAAUGUAAGUCAGAUGUGAAAGCCCGUGGCUCAACCACGGGACUGCAUUUGAAACUACAUAACUAGAGUACAGGAGAGGAAAGCGGAAUUCCUAGUGUAGCGGUGAAAUGCGUAGAUAUUAGGAGGAACACCAGUGGCGAAGGCGGCUUUCUGGACUGUAACUGACGCUGAGGCUCGAAAGCGUGGGGAGCGAACAGGAUUAGAUACCCCCGUAGUCC
rnacentral:rRNA from 1 species